rnacentral:lncRNA from 10 species
GCGCAUAAGACGAUAUGAGUAGUGGUCUCCUCCCUUAGCUAAGGACUCUGACUCCUCCUUCUGUGGGGCUCCAUGUAUUCUUUCUCAUUGGCAACACUGGGAAUAGCAGGGCCCAGUUGAGUUUGGAGAGUGUUGCUUAGUGCUCUUUAGUUGCAACCAUCUGAAAAUAACAUGAAAAGAAAGGGGAAUUUCCUGAAAAAUGUUGGUGGUAGCAAUGAGAGCAAGGCUCAAAGAAUAAACUGGAAGCUGAGAAACUAGGCUUGAAAAUAGAAAUCAAAGGGACUGGGGAAGCAAGGACCCUGCAUUCGUCUCUGGGCAGGAAGGGUUCGCUCAGCGCACUGGUGCUGCGAUAAAUAUCAUGUGCCUCUGCUGUUCUCUCAUCACGGAUCAAGAGUCCAAGCCUGGAGGGAGAGCGACUGACAGCCAUGGUCUGGUCACACGCCUGCCUGAGAGCUGCACGGGAGCCGGCGAGGAAAAGCCCUUGCUGCUUCCAGUGUAAGGUCUGCCUGGAUGAUCAAAACAGAUGGGAAGGAGCCAUGGUGGGGCAAUGAUCCUGUUCUGUUGCCUCCUGGAGAUUCAAGCAUUAUAUAUGGAGAGCUAUCAUCUCUACCCCUCCUCCCGGUUUACUCUCAUGACAAUGAGGCAUUUAUACCAGCAAGUCACCUGAGAACACAGCAG